UUCAGUGUACUUGUCAAACAGAUGACAAGAUUGCAUUUUGCUUUCAGUUAACUUAAUACCACCAUAUUGUGGUGCUACUUCUUGGGUUCUUAUUGUGUGAGAUAUUGACUUAUUGAUGCAUUGUUCGCUUGCACUAGUCUGAUUUGAAUGCUUGGGAUUACAUUGCCCUUGAAAAUUUCUGGUUGUGGUUUGAGAUAAUUUGACUGACUAUGAUAAGGACUUUUAUUUUAAGCUU
rnacentral:misc_RNA from 1 species